AUUGAACGCUGGCGGCAGGCCUAACACAUGCAAGUCGAGCGGGGUUUUCGGACCUAGCGGCGGACGGGUGAGUAAUGCGUAGGAAGCUACCCGAUAGAGGGGGAUACCAGUUGGAAACGACUGUUAAUACCGCAUAAUGUCUACGGACCAAAGUGUGGGACCUUCGGGCCACAUGCUAUCGGAUGCGCCUACGUGGGAUUAGCUAGUUGGUGAGGUAAUGGCUCACCAAGGCGACGAUCCCUAGCUGGUUUGAGAGGAUGAUCAGCCACACUGGAACUGAGACACGGUCCAGACGCCUACGGGAGGCAGCAGUGGGGAAGAUUGGACAAUGGGCGCAAGCCUGAUCCAGCCAUGCCGCGUGUGUGAAGAAGGCCUUCGGGUUGUAAAGCACUUUCAGUAGGGAGGAAGCGUUGUGUGUUAAUAGUACACAGCGUUGACGUUACCUACAGAAGAAGCACCGGCUAACUCUGUGCCAGCCGCCGCAGUAAAAC
rnacentral:rRNA from 1 species